GUCUGUCGAGCUUGCUCACAGGCACAUCAUAUCCAUAACACCUGUGCACUUGUCGGAUGGCUUAGCGAAGACCGCAAGGUUGGAUCUAUCCAUCUACUUUACAUAACAAUUCUGUAACAAAUGUAGUCUUAUUAUAACAUAAUAAAACUUUCAACAACGGAUCUCUUGGCUCUCGCAUCGAUGAAGAACGCAGCGAAAUGCGAUAAGUAAUGUGAAUUGCAGAAUUCAGUGAAUCAUCGAAUCUUUGAACGCACCUUGCGCUCCUUGGUAUUCCGAGGAGCAUGCCUGUUUGAGUGUCAUGAAAACCCUCAACCCUAGAUUGGUUAAAACCUUUCUUUGGUUUGGAUUUGGACGUUUGCCGAUGAUAAGUCGGCUCGUCUUAAAAGUAAUAGCUGGGUCUGUCUCGCGACAUGGUUUGACUUGGCGUAAUAAGUAUUUCGCUAAGGACAUCUUCGGAUGGCCGCGUUGCAGGACUAAAGACCGCUUUCUAAUCCAUUGAUCUUACGAUUAAUAUUCUUGACAUCUGGCCUCAAAUCAGGUAGGACUACCCGCUGAACUUAAGCAUAUCAAUAAGCGGAGGAAAAGAAACUAACAAGGAUUCCCCUAGUAACGGCGAGUGAAGCGGGAAGAGCUCAAAUUUGAAAUCUGGUAGCCUUCGGUUGCCCGAGUUGUAAUCUAGAGAAGUGUUUUCCGUGCCGGCCCAUGUACAAGUCCCUUGGAACAGGGCGUCAUAGAGGGUGAGAAUCCCGUCCUUGACAUGGACCCCCGGUGCUUUGUGAUACACUUUCAACGAGUCGAGUUGUUUGGGAAUGCAGCUCAAAAUGGGUGGUGAAUUCCAUCUAAAGCUAAAUAUUGGCGAGAGACCGAUAGCGAACAAGUACCGUGAGGGAAAGAUGAAAAGCACUUUGGAAAGAGAGUUAAACAGUACGUGAAAUUGUUGAAAGGGAAACGAUUGAA
rnacentral:rRNA from 1 species